rnacentral:rRNA from 1 species
GAUGAACGCUGGCGGCGUGCUUAACACAUGCAAGUCGAACGGAGAUGUUGUGUGAGCGGAGAGUGCUUGCACUUAACAAUCUUUCAACAUCUUAGUGGCGGACGGGUGAGUAACGCGUGGGUAACCUGCCUCAUACAGGGGGAUAACACUUAGAAAUAGGUGCUAAUACCGCAUAAGCGCACAGAGUCGCAUGACUCAGUGUGAAAAACUCCGGUGGUAUGAGAUGGACCCGCGUCUGAUUAGCUAGUUGGUAAGGUAACGGCUUACCAAGGCGACGAUCAGUAGCCGGCCUGAGAGGGUGAACGGCCACAUUGGGGACUGAGACACGGGCCCAAAAUCCUACGGGAGGCAGCAGUGGGGAAUAUUGCACAAUGGGGGAAACCCUGAUGCAGCAACGCCGCGUGAGCGAAGAAGUAUUUCGGUAUGUAAAGCUCUAUCAGCAGGGAANAAAAUGACGGUACCUGACUAAGAAGCU